rnacentral:lncRNA from 1 species
GUAAAUUGAUUUAAUGGUCAGGAAUGCAUUUGGUGGCCAGUCUUCCAGGGGGCCCAUGAAAGUUCAGGGUUCUCAGGUGAAGCGCCAAGUAUGUCACUGAAAGCCCAGUGGAGUUAAGUGUGCAAAGUCAGUCUGAACAUAUGCUGUAAUGGAUUUGACCUCGAAUAGCACUACAAAGAGAAAUUGCAGAUAACCAUCUGAACUGACUUCUGAAGCUUGUAGUUCUGGCUCCUGAGAUACAGAGAGAAAAGUGAGACCAAACAGGUGGGAGCAAACAACUCAGAGAGACCAGAAUGAAUACGAGUCUAACUUUAAAAGUAAAUAAAAUUAAAUAAAAAUGAUUUAUUCUAUAGCUCUUUGUCUUUUAUUGGUUCCCACACAAUGUCCACACAAUAAACAG